GGUUCAGGAUGAACGCUGGCGGCGUGCUUAACACAUGCAAGUCGAACGGAGCUUAGAAGGAAGCUUGCUUUCAUUAAGCUUAGUGGCGGACGGGUGAGUAACGCGUGAGUAACCUGCCCUUGAGAGGGGAAUAACAUCGAGAAAUCGGUGCUAAUACCGCAUAAUGUCGGAGUACCGCAUGACAUUCCGACCAAAGAUUUUAUCGCUCAAGGAUGGACUCGCGUCCGAUUAGCUAGUUGGUGAGGUAACGGCCCACCAAGGCUUCGAUCGGUAGCCGAACUGAGAGGUUGAUCGGCCACAUUGGGACUGAGACACGGCCCAGACUCCUACGGGAGGCAGCAGUGGGGAAUAUUGGGCAAUGGGCGCAAGCCUGAACCCCAGCAACGCCGCGUGAAGGAUGAAGGUCUUCGGAUUGUAAACUUCUUUGAUUGGGGAAGAAUAAAUGACCUGCCCAAAGAACAAGCCACGGCUAACUACGUGCCAGCAGCAGC
rnacentral:rRNA from 1 species